AGUGGUUGGAAAACAAAGCACACUGUGAGGGGGUUUCUUAAUGCGGCUAGCAGGAUAGUCCCUAGUGCACGUUCCCUUUGCAAGGGAGUUCUUCUAGCCAGAGCAGACAGGAGGCGUUGUUGAGACACACCCGGCCAAAACUGCGUGAUGACCUAUCGCUCUACAAAGGAGUACCGAUUUAAAUGUUUAUGUAAUUGAUCUUAUUUGUCAUUCACUUAUAUAUAAAUGUGUCUUACAUGUCUCUAUUUCAUGUCCAUGGGAAGAGGAGGACGAGGAGGAGGAGGUGCAACACCAUGAGGAAGAGGUUGCAGCCAUAGAUGUCGGGGUGCAGGGCCAUGAGGAGGAGGAGGUCGCAGACAUAGAUGAUGAGGCAAAUGAUGAUACCAUUGAGGCUCCUGCCUUUCGACAGAGGGGCACUCGGAAGGGCCACUUUAUCCUACCCCCGUCAGCGCUUGCACAAUCAGAAGCCAAUGGGAUGACACGUCUUUCGAUGGGCAUGGUCACCAUAGACAGAUUAAUCAAGUUUUAGGUAACCUCUGUCGUCUAUAUAAUCCAGGAAUUGUGACUGACUCGAAAGGUGUAGUGGUUCCUUGCACUAGCUGGUCGCACUUCGCACUAGCUCCACAUGCUACAUAUGGAAAAGCUUAGGGCGCCGUCAAGCGCGACUUUUGGAGACGCUAUCGUGUGGAACCUAAGGCUCAGGAGCAUGCAG